GAUGAACGCUGGCGGCGUGCCUAAUACAUGCAAGUCGAGCGAACAGAUGAGGAUCGUGCUCCUCUGACGUGAGCGGCGGACGGGUAAGUAACACGUAGAUAACCUAUCUCUAAGACUUGGAUAACUUCGGGAAACCGGAGCUAAUACCGGGUAAUAUAGUUAACCGCAUGGUUCAAGAGUGAAAGACGGUUUGGCUGUCACUUAUAGAUGGAUCCGCGCCGCAUUAGCUAGUUGGUAAGGUAACGGCUUACCAAGGCGACGAUGCGUAGCCGACCUGAGAGGGUGAUCGCCCACACUGGAACUGAGACACGGUCCAGACUCCUACGGGAGGCACCAGUAGGGAAUCUUCCGAGAAGGGCGAAAGCCUGACGGAGCAGCGCCGCGUGAGUGAUGAAAGUCUGCGGACCGUAAAACUCUGUUAUUAGGGAAGACCAAAUGUGCACGUAACUAUGCAUUUCUUGACGGUACCUAAUAAGAAAGCACCGGCUAACUACGUG
rnacentral:rRNA from 1 species